CACGUAGGGUGCGAGCGUUUGUCCGGAAUUAUUGGGCGUAAAGAGCUCGUAGGCGGUGUGUCGCGUCGGCCGUGAAAACCUGGGGCUUAACUCUGGGCUUGCGGUCGAUACGGGCAUCACUUGAGUUCGGCAGGGGGAGACUGGAAUUCCUGGUGUAGCGGUGAAAUGCGCAGAUAUCAGGAGGAACACCGGUGGCGAAGGCGGGUCUCUGGGCCGAUACUGACGCUGAGGAGCGAAAGCGUGGGGAGCGAACAGG
rnacentral:rRNA from 1 species